CCGAAGCUGUGUAUAUAUGUAUGUAUGUAUGUAUGUAGACUUAUAUUAACUUUCAGACAAUGCUGUCGCUAUUACUGCUCUCGCUACUGCUGGGAGGUUUUUCAUGACCAAUGCUGGGUCGAUAUGCAACGUCUAUGUUCAGGAGCUGUUUCCUACCUCACUAAGACUUACGGCCACAGGCUUAGGCUCAAUUGCGGUUAGAGUUUCUGGAAUGCUUUCUCCAAUGCUCAACAUAUUGGCCACGUACCAUUGGUCCAUACCUACUAUCGUGUUCAGCAGCCUCUCUUUAGCUGGAGGGGCUUUGGUCUUCCUGCUUCCUGAGACAAGACGGACAGAGCUACCUGACUCUACAGAUGAAGCAGAGGGGAGGAGAAAUGUGGCUACCAGUGUGCCUAUGAUCAAAAAAGAGACAGACAGUGAAGUGGAUGCUUGCGAUUUUGAAAUGUCUACUAAACUUUAAAUACAUUUUUAUGUAAAUCUUUUUAUGUUUUGUUUUGGAGGCUCAUUAAAUUAGAAUUAGCUGGCAUAUGGAGCUUGUAAUGUCUCAUUUGUAAA